UUGCGGCCACAUCACGUUGAAACACCGGUUCCUGUAAGUUAAGCAACAUCUAGCGUGGUCAGUACCUAGAUGGGUGACCGCUUGGGAAUACCAGGUGCUGCACG